rnacentral:rRNA from 1 species
UACGAAGGGGGCUAGCGUUGCUCGGAAUCACUGGGCGUAAAGCGCACGUAGGCGGCUCUUUAAGUCAGAGGUGAAAUCCUGGGGCUCAACCCCAGAACUGCCUUUGAUACUGAGGAGCUUGAGUCCGGGAGAGGUGAGUGGAACUGCGAGUGUAGAGGUGAAAUUCGUAGAUAUUCGCAAGGACACCAGUGGCGAAGGCGGCUCACUGGCCCGGUACUGACGCUGAGGUGCGAAAGCGUGGGGAGCAAACAGG